rnacentral:misc_RNA from 2 species
UGUAGGAGUGAGCCUGCUCGCGAUGGCGGUGUGUCAGUCAACCUUACAGCUACUGAUCCAACGCCAUCGCGAGCAGGCUCACUCCUACA